UGGGGAAUAUUGGAAAAUGGGCGAAAGCCUGAUCCAGCCAUGCCGCGUGUGUGAAGAAGGUCUUCGGAUUGUAAAGCACUUUAAGUUGGGAGGAAGGGCAGUAAGCGAAUACCUUGCUGUUUUGACGUUACCGACAGAAUAAGCACCGGCUAACUCUGUGCCAGCAGCCGCGGUAAUACAGAGGGUGCAAGCGUUAAUCGGAAUUACUGGGCGUAAAGCGCGCGUAGGUGGUUCGUUAAGUUGGAUGUGAAAGCCCCGGGCUCAACCUGGGAACUGCAUCCAAAACUGGCGAGCUAGAGUAGGGCAGAGGGUGGUGGAAUUUCCUGUGUAGCGGUGAAAUGCGUAGAUAUAGGAAGGAACCCCAGUGGCGAAGGCGACCACCUGGGCUCAUACUGACACUGAGGUGCGAAAGCGUGGGGAGCAAACAGG
rnacentral:rRNA from 1 species